UGGGGAAUAUUGGACAAUGGGCGCAAGCCUGAUCCAGCCAUGCCGCGUGAGUGAUGAAGGCCCUAGGGUUGUAAAGCUCUUUCACCGGUGAAGAUAAUGACGGUAACCGGAGAAGAAGCCCCGGCUAACUUCGUGCCAGCAGCCGCGGUAAUACGAAGGGGGCUAGCGUUGUUCGGAUUUACUGGGCGUAAAGCGCACGUAGGCGGACUUUUAAGUCAGGGGUGAAAUCCCGGGGCUCAACCCCGGAACUGCCUUUGAUACUGGAAGUCUUGAGUAUGGUAGAGGUGAGUGGAAUUCCGAGUGCAGAGGUGAAAUUCGUAGAUAUUCGGAGGAACACCAGUGGCGAAGGCGGCUCACUGGACCAUUACUGACGCUGAGGUGCGAAAGCGUGGGGAGCAAACAGG
rnacentral:rRNA from 1 species